GACGAACGCUGGCGGCGUGCCUAAUACAUGCAAGUCGAACGCAGUGGGGACGGGUGAGUAACACGUGGGUAACCUCCCAUCAGAGGGGAUAAAACUUGGAAACAGGUGCUAAACCGAUACUGAUGGAUGGCCCCGCGGUGCAUUAGCUAGUUGGUGAGGUAACGGCUCACCAAGGCCACGAUGCAUAGGUGACCUGAUCGGGUGUGCGGCCAACAUGGGACUGAGACACGUCCCAGACUCCUACGGGAGGCAGCAGGAUGGAAUUUUCGGCAAUGGACGAAAGUCUGACCGAGCAACGCCGCGUGAGUGAAUAAGGUGUUCGGAUCGUAAAACUCUGUUGUUAGAGAAGCGGUAUCUAACCAGAAAGCCACGGCUAACUACGUGCCAGCAGCCGCGGUAAUUC
rnacentral:rRNA from 1 species